rnacentral:tRNA from 1 species
GCCUUCGUGGUAUAGUGGUCAGCACGCUGGGCGCGUAUUCCAGAGGUCCGUGGUUCGAGUCUCGGCGAAGGCG